rnacentral:lncRNA from 1 species
AGGUCCAGGCAGAAGAAGACUGUGCCACGUUGAAUACACCAGUUCUCGUCAGAUCACUGAAGUUAAGCGACGUCGGGCGUGGUCAGCGCUCGGAUGGUUGACCAUCUGGGAGAUCACGUGUUGUUGGUUUCGGGGUCUACUCAUCCUCGUGAGGACAAUUGAGUUGCUGGAUUGGUCAUACGACCGGUGCGGAUUAGUCAUAAGACAGGUGCCGCACCCCAGUACAGCUAGACUGAAAACUAGCUUCCAUCCCAAGUGGUUCUAGAGGCAGAAGAAGAAUAUCUUGGCUUG